GAGAGACCCAGAUUCCGGAGGCCGCAAGGCCACUGAAGCAGCACUCUUGCCCAUCCUGAGAAUGGACAGGACAAUUGGUUUAGAAGGAGGAAGCAGAAACCCCAGACAUCAGCCUGGACUGGCGAAUCUGGGAUAAUCUUCUACUCCUUGGAAAGUUCUAAAAUCAGGGUGAGAGCCUGUGGUAGGAGGCUCCAAGUCUCUAAGAAGGAGAACACAGACUGCUGUUCCUGACCGGGGUAGAGGGUGAAUGACUUAGAUAUACCGGAAUCAGGCCUCCAAGGAUGUCCUCAGGCAAAGAACAAGAGCUUGAGAGAGAAGGUCGUGGUUCACAAGACAGCUGCCGGGGUCAAAGGGAACAGCUGAUCAGUCGUUUCAGGGAUCGUCUCCCCCUCCAAUGCGAGGGACUGUGUUCCUUAACAGUCCUUUAAGGAAACCAACGUUAAAAAUUAUAUUGUAUUAUUUGGUUUAUGUAGCAGUCUCAAAAAGACAGAACCGUAGUGGUGGAGAACAGGUUAGUGGUUGCCAGGAGUUGGAGGUGGGGCGGAGGAUGUGAACACAAAAGGGAAGCCUGAGAGAGUGUUUUGGGGGUGACUAAACUGUUCUAUUUAUAUAUUGGAUUAUGGUGAUGGUUGUACGAAUCUAUGCAUGUGUUAAAAUUUAUGAAAUUGUACAUCAAAAAGAGUCAAUUUUAAUGUAUGAUAAUUAAAAAUAAAAACAAAAAUAGAAAAAAAAAGGAAUAAAGAAAGAAAGGCGAGCCCUCUGGGCCAGUCGCUCUGUAGUACAGAAGAUGAAAAUCUAGGUGGACUUCUCCUUCUACAGAGCAGCAGGAGGGGCGGUAUUCUGACGCUGAUUCCACUUUUCCCCCUUGUGGGAAACUAGCCCCAGCCCAAGGGGAGGUCGGGGAGAUCCGCUUCAGCGUCCCCGUCCUGUCAGAUUCUCCAGGUGUCUGGGCUACCACUCCACGCACUCCCGCUCCAGGUAGUUCCUGUGCCGCUCCGCCUCACCGGCUGCCUCCCGCUCGCGCGGGUGAUGUAAGCCGCCCUGCCCUCCGCGAGCUCAGACCGCGCCGUCGUUCAGGGCGAGGUAACCGGCGCCAUCAGAGGCGUCUUAUUCACUGUACCCAGCGGAGGAGGCGCGCAACACGGGACGGAUCGCGUCCACCAAACCACUCUUGUGUCUGAGACCCUGGCCCCGCCCCCGACCAACCACGCCCACACAACCCCGCCCACGUUAAGCCCUGCCCACUUAGCCCCGCCCCAAAGCCAGCCUCUCCCGGACCUCUGGGCAGUGAUUAUAGCCUAAACCAGGGGUCCGCAACCCCUGGGCUGCUGACCGGUCCCGGUCCCCGGCUUGUUAGCAACAGGGCCGCUCAGCAGGAGGUGAGCAGCGCGCUAGCGAAGCUUCAUCUGCUGCUCCCCAUCGCUCGCAUUACCACCGGAACCAUCCACGCUCCCCUGCUCCCGAACGAAAAUUUGUCUUACACAAAACCGGUUCCUGGUGCAAAAAAGUUGGGGACUGCUGGCCUAAACUGAAAAUGAAACCGGGUGAAAGAAGCCGCGGGCUCCUUCCGGGUGGAAGGGGCUGGGCAGGCGGGUGCCGCAGCCUCCCAGCGAAGCUUGGGGCGACCGCGGUCCAUCUGUUGGGAUGCGGGUCAUGACCUGGAACCAGGCACGGGUCGCUCACAGGGUUCGCUCUGGUUGUAGUAGCCGCGCAGGUGUUCAGGCUCCUGGUGAAAUACCAGGGCUCCCGGCCAACGGCUGGGACGCAGUGUUGAAACACUGCAGAGAGUGGGAGCAUGGCGGUGGGGACGCGCUGAGAGCCCCCAUCUCCCCACCCCCGCACUGGUGCCGGGGCCGAGGUCUACGCGGCCGGGAGGGGAGGAGAGGGUGAGGGGGGUAGAGAAGAGGGGAAAGGGACAGCGGGACAGAGAGAGGC